GGAACAAAUCUACAAGGGCUUUUGUCCGGGCAUCCCUUGCGGGAUGCCCAUCAUGGGAGAGGAGAAACCGGACGAAGAGCUUAUGGGGAAACGUAAGUCUUCUCCGCG
rnacentral:ncRNA from 1 species